UACGUAGGGGGCAAGCGUUGUCCGGAAUCAUUGGGCGUAAAGCGCGCGUAGGCGGCCCUGUAAGUCCGUUGUGAAAGUCGAAGGCUCAACCUUCGAAAGCCGAUGGAUACUGCAGGGCUAGAGUCCGGAAGAGGCGAGUGGAAUUCCUGGUGUAGCGGUGGAAUGCGUAGAUAUGCGGAGGAACACCGAUGGCGAAGGCAAUCCCCUGGACCUGUACUGACGCUCAUGCACGAAAGCGUGGGGAGCAAACAGG
rnacentral:rRNA from 1 species